rnacentral:lncRNA from 1 species
CCUAACGGCACAUGAAAUCACAUUAUUUUAUGUGAUUUCAUGGCUCCAACGGGUCGUACCAGCAAACCAGGGAUUUACGGAGGGUGCCAUCACACUUGUUGCUAGGUUUCAGCGUGCCAGAGGCCGUGCUCACCUUUCGGAGCACUGCCGGCAGCAACCACGCGCGCACGAGCGACGCAAACCUCAGCGAAACAGUGCGCACAGCGCGAAGAUCGCACAUUACUCACUAACCAGGGCACCGUUAACCUAAAUGGAGGUGAGCAUCGUGUUCAGCACGAGCCCACGAUCACCGUGCUCACCUCCCGAGGUGCCAGGGAGUCAUCGGGUCACCGGAAAAGUGACCGGAACGCAAAACAGCAGUGCUGGAACCAUAAAUGGCUACUCACCGGAGCAGUGGGAG